rnacentral:lncRNA from 1 species
UGGUGUAGUCUGUUGAAUCAGGCAUGAUGCCUGAACCAAGGCCUUGGCCGGUUCAGGAAUGGUGCCCAUGGCCUUGGCCGGGCUGUUCAUGAUCAGGAUCUACAUGGUCUGGGUCGAUUCUUUGGAAUCUGAUUAUGGGAAUCUCUUAGUUAUGAAUUAUCAAGAGUUUUCAUGUAUUUUAAUCAAUUUUUAGGAAUUGAUUUGAUGAUGUCCAGUUUUGGCCGGUUUGGCUGAUUUUGGCCGAGAUCUAUAGGAUCGAGGCCGGUUCUGCAAAUUCUGAUUAUGGCAUUCUCUUAGUUGGGAAUUAUUAUGAAUUAUCAUGAAUUUUAAUUAGUGUUUGGAGCAUAUUUGGAAGAGGUCAUUUUUGUAUCUAAGAGCAUAUUGAUACUUAUCUGAUGGAGUUGUGUUGGGUUUGGUCAUGUGUGAACCAU